rnacentral:rRNA from 1 species
GAUGAACGCUGGCGGCGUGCCUAAUACAUGCAAGUCGAGCGAACGGACGAGAAGCUUGCUUCUCUGAUGUUAGCGGCGGACGGGUGAGUAACACGUGGAUAACCUACCUAUAAGACUGGGAUAACUUCGGGAAACCGGAGCUAAUACCGGAUAAUAUUUUGAACCGCAUGGUUCAAAAGUGAAAGACGGUCUUGCUGUCACUUAUAGAUGGAUCCGCGCUGCAUUAGCUAGUUGGUAAGGUAACGGCUUACUAAGGCAACGAUGCAUAGCCGACCUGAGAGGGUGGUCGGCCACACUGGAACUGAGACACGGUCCAGACUGCUACGGGAGGCAGCAGUAGGGAAUCUUCCGCAAUGGGCGAAAGCCUGACGGAGCAACGCCGCGUGAGUGAUGAAGGUCUUCGGAUCGUAAAACUCUGUUAUUAGGGAAGAACAUAUGUGUAAGUAACUGUGCACAUCUUGACGGUACCUAAUCAGAAAGCCACGGCUAACUACGUG